GAUGAACGCUGGCGGCGUGCCUAAUACAUGCAAGUCGAGCGAACAGACGAGGAGCUUGCUCCUCUGACGUUAGCGGCGGACGGGUGAGUAACACGUGGAUAACCUACCUAUAAGACUGGGAUAACUUCGGGAAACCGGCGCUAAUCCCGGAUAAUAUAUUGAACCGCAUGGUUCAAUAGUGAAUGACGGUUUUGCUGUCACUUAUAGAUGGAUCCGCGCCGCAUUAGCUAGUUGGUAAGGUAAAGGCUUACCACGGCAACGAUGCGUAGCCGACCGGAGAGGGUGAUCGGCCACACGGGAGCUGGGACACGGUCCAGGGGCCUGCGGGAGGCAGCAGUAGGGAAUCUGCCGCAGUGGGCGAAAGCCUGACGGAGCGACGCCGCGUGAGAGAUAGAGGUCUUCGGAGCGUAAAACUCGGUUAUUAGUGAAAAACAAAUGUGGAAGUAAAUAUGCACGUCUUGACGGUACCUAAUCAGAAAGCCACGGCUAACUACGUG
rnacentral:rRNA from 1 species